GAAGCCGCAGGGCACGCCGGCCAAACCAGACGCCAUUCUCCGCGUUCUCAUCAGAUUAUAAUCUGCUGGGAUAUAUAGGAGGCUGUUACGACGGAGAUUACCGGCGCUGCUCGCAAGUCCAUCGUGUGCGGUUCAGGAAUGAUUUGUAGAAACAGCAGGUGUAGUCGCAAAAAAGAAGACAAAAUGGACGUCGGAACGACGCGGCUUCCUGCAAGGCCUGAACAUCAGUAGGCAACACACAGAAGCCAUGAACAUCCUCAUAUGUGAAUAAACCAUUAUAUUCAAAACA